UUGGGGGGAGCAGAGGGUGGCACUC
rnacentral:miRNA from 1 species